UACAGAGGCCUCGAGCGUUAGGCGGAAUCACUGGGCUUAAAGCGUGUGUAGGCGGACUUCUAAGUAACCUUGUGAAAUCCCACGGCUCACCCGUGGAACUGCUCGGUAUACUGGUCGUCUUGAGCCUUCUAGGGGCGAGUGGAACAAAUGGUGGAGCGGUGAAAUGCGUAGAUAUCAUUUGGAACGCCAAUGGUGAAAACAACUCGCUGGGGAAGUGCUGACGCUGAGACACGAAAGCCAGGGGAGCGAACGGG
rnacentral:rRNA from 1 species